rnacentral:rRNA from 1 species
AGUGAACGCUGGCGGUAGGCCUAACACAUGCAAGUCGAACGGCAGCACAGUAAGAGCUUGCUCUUACGGGUGGCGAAUGGCGGACGUGUGAGGAAUACAUCGGAAUCUACUUUUUCGGGGGGGAUAACGUAGGGAAACUUACGCUAAUACAGCAUACGACCUACCGGUGAAAGCGGGGGAUCUUCGGACCUUGCGCGGUUGAAUGAGCCGAUGUGGGAGUAGCUAGUGGGCGGGGUAAAGGCCCACCAAGGCGACGAUCCGUAGCUGGUCUGAGAGGAUGGUCGCCCGCACGGGAACGUAGACAGGCUCCAGACUACUACGGGACGCAGCAGUCGGGAAUGUUGGACAAUGGGCGCAAGCCUGAUACAGCCAGACCGCGUGGGAGAAGACGGCGUUGGGGGUGUAAAGCCCGUUUGCUGGGAAAGAAAAGCAGUCGGUUAUGACGCAGCGGUUCUGACGGUAACCAAUGAAUAAGCACCGGCUAACUACGUG